CCUGGAGAAGCGUCUAACCUAGACUUCUGGAGUAAGCUGAAGCCCAAAGGGUCACCAGUGAAAAGUUGUGCAGAGCCCAACAUGAGCUUCAUUUCCAAGCUGCCACCUAUCUCUGCCUCCUGCGUAGCAUCCGGAAACAUGUGGCCCUACAUCAGGAAUUUCAUGGCAAGGGUGAGCGCUCGGUGGAGGAGUCUGCUGGCUUGGUGGGUCUCAAGUUGCCCCAUCAGCCUGGAGGGAAGGGCUGGGAGCCAUGAACAUGGAGAAUAUCCUUGGAUGCUGCAUUCAUAGGAGAAUUGAAUAAUUUCUAUCAAUAUGUAUUUAUCAUUAAAUUUUUUUUAAGUUUAA
rnacentral:lncRNA from 1 species